rnacentral:misc_RNA from 1 species
AAGUCGUAACAAGGUUCCGUAGGUGAACCUGCGGAAGGAUCAUUACAAGUACACUGUCAGCUAGUGUUGGGAACCCUUGAAAUGGGAUGCCCCAAAUCAACGUUUCUUAAACCCUUUGCAAAAUCAAUUUAAGAUUCGUUAGCCUCGGCGGGCGUUGUCCCGCUGGCGGAUAUACACUAAACUCUUGUAAACUGCUGUAACAGUGGAAAAAUUUGAUCUGAAAAUAUAUUGAAUUUUUUAAAAC